rnacentral:rRNA from 1 species
UGGGGAAUUUUGCACAAUGGGGGAAACCCUGAUGCAGCGACGCCGCGUGAUUUAGAAGGCCUUCGGGUUGUAAAAAUCUUUUUUAUGGGAUGAAAAUGACAGUACCAUAAGAAUAAGGUCCGGCUAAAUACGUGCCAGCAGCCGCGGUAAUACGUAUGGACCGAGCGUUGUCCGGAAUCAUUGGGGGUAAAGGGUACGUAGGCGGCCCAGUAAGUUAGAAGUGAAAUAAUAUAGCUCAACUAUAUAAAGCUUUUAAAACUGCUAGGCUUGAGAGAUGGAAGGGAAAGUGGAAUUCCUAGUGUAGCGGUGAAAUGCGCAGAUAUUAGGAAGAAUACCGGUGGCGAAGGCGACUUUCUGGUCAUCAUCUGACGCUGAGGUACGAAAGCGUGGGUAGCAAACAGG